AUAAACUUCCCUUCCAGUGAGGACGGAGCUCCGAAGCACGCUCUCAGCUCAGGCCCCUGCACUCAGUUGGCCUCCAGCAGGACUCAGCCAUCCCCCUCCACACAAAGCUGGCAGCACCCUGCGCUCAUCGCAUGGCCAAAAUGGGCACACGUGGCUCAGGGAGGAAGAGGAUUUCAAGGAAAGAUGGGGCUGAGAGCAACGUGUGCUGCUGAGAUGAAAGCCACCAGGAAAGCACAGCCCCCAGAUGGCUCCAGCAGCAGCAGCUGCCCGGCGACCGGCCGAAGGCUUCAUCAACUGGCACCCAAAAGUCAAUCAGGAAGAUGCUGCCUGUUUUAAUGAACAGAGAAAAUUCGCACAGAGAUGAUGUGUGCCGGGGGGAGGAGGGAGGCUGGAGACAAAACAUGACCUUGUUGGUGGAGGCAC
rnacentral:lncRNA from 1 species